rnacentral:rRNA from 1 species
UGGGGAAUAUUGGGCAAUGGGCGAAAGCCUGACCCAGCAACGCCGCGUGAGUGAUGAAGGCCUUCGGGUUGUAAAACUCUUUGGACAGGGACGAAGAAAGUGACGGUACCUGUAGAACAAGCCACGGCUAACUACGUGCCAGCAGCCGCGGUAAUACGUAGGUGGCGAGCGUUAUCCGGAAUUAUUGGGCUUAAAGGGCAUCUAGGCGGUAAGACAAGUUGAAGGUGAAAACCUGUGGCUCAACCAUAGGCUUGCCUACAAAACUGUUGAACUAGAGUACUGGAAAGGUGGGUGGAACUACACGAGUAGAGGUGAAAUUCGUAGAUAUGUGUAGGAAUGCCGAUGAUGAAGAUAACUCACUGGACAGAAACUGACGCUGAAGUGCGAAAGCUAGGGGAGCAAACAGG